AGGUACCACGCGCGCACUCCGCCGCCUCCGCGUCAUCCUCCCCCACCUGACGACGGCUCGCCCGAUGUCGUUCGCC
rnacentral:sRNA from 1 species